rnacentral:pre_miRNA from 1 species
GGGGGGAGGCUGGAUCCUGGGCUGUGUCCCGGCGCCCUGUGCUCUGGGGCCUGCGCUGUUGGAUUCGCGCUCCCGGGCCGCAGCCCCCU